rnacentral:lncRNA from 1 species
UUCCCUCUCUCUUCACUCUCACUCUUCGCUUUCUCACUGCAACCUCAAAACUCUCAAAUCACAAGCCAACCAUAACCAAACCCUCCUCAACUCUUCUUUCUUCUCACUUUUAUCUCUGUUACUCACUUAAUACAAAGUGGCAUACGACGACGAUUUCGGCAACGGCCGGCCUCGAGGUUUGCUCAAACGGUUGCUCUUCACAUCAAGUAGCUUCUAGACCUAUUGUAGGUAAACGUCUACUUCAAAUUUCUAGGUUUUUAGUAAUCUUUCAUGAUUUUGUAAAAAAAAUUUGUUUAAAAUUCUGGGUUUUGGAAAAUUCUUCAUUGAACUUUUUAUGUGAUUUCAGUAUUUCAUUUAAUUCCUUCCAUCUCAGAUUUCUUUAUGAUUUUAGAAAUUCUUAUAUUAAUUUUUUUUAUGAAGCAGAAAAAUCUGGAUUCCAUAUAUAGUUCCCAGAAAAAUAUAGGUUUAAAGCUACAUCUGGGUUCCAUGUACAGUUUGGGAUCCCUACAUGUAAUUUGCUAUCUAUUGCGGGUUUUGAUAAAACUGAGAAACAGGACAAAUCUCUUGGGAUUUUCCGGGUUCAAUCUGUGUGUAAUUUUCAGAAACAAAAAAUGGGAUUUCCAAAUUUUAAUCUUUUUUGGUAUUUUGGGUAUGCUCUGUUUGGAUGCUCAGAGAGAUGGGAUUUACUUUUGGAUAUGCUCUAUAAAAAAAGUACAAUUUACAUUUGGUUUUGGUUAUUUGCUGAUGGGAUGUUGUGAUGGGGUUUAGUAACUUUCAGUAUUCUUAAAUUCUUUUUAAUUUGCAAAAUUAAAUUGCCCAUCGAAUUAAAUUGAUAUUGCAUAUUGUCAUCAAGUUGACACUGACAACAAUGAAAUUACCAACUUAGAAUUAAGAGCUUUGUUAGUUUAUUCGAAUUUGAUGCUCCCUCAUAUGGUCAAGAAAUAUAUAUAGUUGUCUUAUAUUUUAUAAGAGAAAUUAAGUACAUUGGACAACAUCAUUCAUCCUCUAUGUUUAUUUUUAAUUGCUUUUCUUAAUCUAUUUUCCCGUCAUUUUUUUUCUACUAUGUAAUCUCAUUUGGUUUCGAUUUUCCUACAGUAUUCAUGUAAAAUAAAUACUUCAUCCGUAUACACUCUACAUCACUGCUCAGGUAUACAAUUCUUUUUUUUUUCUUGGUUAAUCAUUAUUUUCCUUUUACUCCAUUUUGAAUCUUUAGUUUGGAAGAAAGCUGAUAGACGUAAAUGGGUUUUAUUCUGGGUUUAAAAGGUCUGAUCUUUUUUAUUUUUUUAUUGCUAGAAAAAAAUAUGAUUUUUGGUUGAUUUGGUUGCAUAUUUGAAAGAGAGUGAGUGAAACACUAGAUUUUAAUUUAAUAAAUCAUACUACAUUCGCUAUUUACAUUUAUACCAAAAUUAUGAAUAGGAAUUUAAUCUUAUUUGAACGCAUCCCUGAGCAAUCUUACCUCAAGGCACAUCACCCAGGUAGGCCUGAUCAGCCAACUGCGUGUGCUCCAUCUUCUAAAAAGUUUGGUCAGUAUCUUAUGUCUUGGUUUGUGUUCAAGCUUGUGUUUCUUAGUUAAGUUUCAAUCAGUAUAUUGUCAUUCAUUUAUUUAAGAUGUGGUGGUAUUAAGAUGUGGUGGUACUGUUGAUGACAUGGCUAUAAAUCACAGGGUUUUUCAAUUUCUGGUAGAAAAAGAAAUUUAAGUUGAACAUAUUUUUUGUGUUUUGUUUUGUUGUUUGUGGUUUUGGAUGUGCUAUAUUGUUAUAGCUUAAGAAGAAAUUAAGAAAGUUUGGUCAUUUGCUUCUCGACUUAAAUUGGAUUGGUUUUUUUUUAAUUUAUAUUACAUGGUGUUUUUAAUGAUGUUGUUGCAGCUUUGAAAAAACAAAUUUGAGGUUUUUAUUUAGUGACACAAAUGAGUUUUUAUUUGGUUAAAGGAGGAAGGAAGAAUAGAGAGGGAGGUAAAUUGUGUCGGUAACUAGAGAUACUGGGUUCAGAAUUAUAUGAUUGGUUAUAGGGUGGAAAUCAAUUGAGUGUUGUUGUUUAUGUUUUGCUAAUUUUGUCAAGCUUGAAAAACAGAGAGGAAAUUAACCUUGAACAGCUCAAAGAAACAAAAUUGUAACAAAAACUUCCAGUGUUUAUUAAUGUGAGAAAAAUACAGCUUUCUCAGUUAUGCAAUGGUUUGAAUGCAAAAAAUAAAAUAAAAAAUAAAAAGAAAAAAGGUGUUUUGUGUAUCUGAUUUGUAACUACAUUUUUUAUUACAGAUUAUUGCCAAAGCAGUUUAUAUAAGCUACAAAGUGCUCUUGCUGAAAUAGAAAAAACAAUGGUGAGUCAGGCCACCAAGCAGUGACAAAUUUAGAAUUUACAAAUCUUCAUUAAUCAUAUUGAUAAUUAUUUACACACACACACAUAUAUAUGAUGCUAUUUGUAUGGUCCUUUAAAAUUUUCUGGCACAUAAAAGCAAGUUAAUUUUAUACUUUUCAUUUAUGUCAUUUUUGGUGUGUUUUAUUUUUGUGAAGCAAUAUAAAUUAAUUAGAUCAUAUCGUUAUAUCCUCCAUGAGCUGAUGUGCUUGAAGCUUUUAUUUUUUUCCUUUGUUUAUUUUUGUUAGAAAUUAGAAACAGAGGUGAAACCAUGUUUGAUGGUGGUUGUCCAUUUUUGUUACUUCACAUGUCAAUGAAUUUGUUGCUGAAUAAUAUUUAUGUUGGUUUUUCGUAGAGUUUGACAACGUGGAUUUUAACCUGGUUGUAUUUGUGUUGCAUGGCUGUACGCUAAAGGUUUAGCAUAAGUGAUUUAAACUACUGGAAUUGUUAAGUUCAAUUUUUUAGUAUUUGCUUUGGUCUUAUUUUUUACAACUUGAAUAAAGUUUCAUAUUUCCAUAAAGUGAUUCCAAUUAAUAGUUUCAUACAAAAUACUCACUCUAUGUUGCUAACUUUUCUUGCGCAACCAAUCACUCACAGCUCAUGCUAUUGAUAAUGUGAUUCGAAGAAUUCUCAGAGCUUGAUUCACCCAAUUUCUCCACCUCAUGUAAAAACUCUUUCCAACAGCUGAAGCAUUUAUAGGGUAAAUAACAUUAAUCUUCUGUAACAAUCUUUUAUUCCUUUGGAACAUAUUUUUUUCAUAUGCUUUUUAAUCCUACAGCAACACGCGGGUACUAUUUCUAGUAUAAACUAUACACACAUACAUAAUACACACAUAUACACACUACAUGAGCUCCAGAGAGCAUGCACUGCAUGCUGGCUCAUGUUGGAAAAUUAAAUAGAGCUUAGCUCCUGUUUAUAGGGACAUAAAGCCGGCAUAAUUAGUGUUUUAUGGCAGUUAAUAUGAGAUAAGAAUGCAUUUGAUGAAUGAUAUCUCCAAAUGGCUUCCAGGUGCCAUUGUGCAUGAGAUAAAUAACUUGGGUUUAACAAGUGGCUUUGUAAACGAUGGUGUGGAAGGUGGAGGUGUCAACUUAUGGAGUUAAGGGACUAAUAACAUGACAGCUGAAUUGGUGAUAAUUCAUAGAGUUAAGCUGGAGGUGUCAUAAUAUUAGGAAAUAGUGGCAGCAAAGAUCUUUUCUAAUAGUGAUAUUGCAAAAAUACUUUUAUACUAAAAUGUAUUAAUAAAUCUAACUAGAAGUAGUAUAUAUAUUAAUAUACUAAACAAAGCUUAAGUUGAUAUGUAGAUAAGAUUAAAAUACAGGUUCUCACAAUUCAUUCGUGUCAAUCCCCAUCUAAUUCUGUCAAAAUAUAAAUCAUUCACAUCUACUUUCAUUAUACCUUGAAUUUUAUGAGUUACUGAAUUCAUUCCAAUCCUAGACACAAGACGAGCUGUAAACAAAGGGCUUUGAAAUUACAUCUUUCAAUGUGUUGUUUGAAAAUUUCCUAAAUGUAUUACAUCAGCUUGGAUUGGCCAAGAUUGGUUUUGGAUGAGAUCUAAAUUGAUCCUCAAACGAGUCUAGGUUCUGAAUUCUAGUUCAAGCAAAGAAGGCGAGACUCAUUGAUAGAGUUUUGGCCAAGAAUAAUUUUGAGUAUAUUCAAAGAAUAUGUCGAGAAAUUGGAAUAUUAUCAUAAUUUUAUCACUUGGCAAACUCGAGCAUCAAAGAAUUAGUUCACUAUAAGUACAUGAAGGUUUGCAACGUAGAAAAGACUUCCAACCCAACACAUAAACAUACAAACAAACGCUCUACCCGAAACCCUCAGUCUAUGAUAAACCUUUUCAAAUCCUGAGAAAAAACACUAAGGGUGCGUUUGUUGCACCGGACUGUCUCGGACUGGACUAGCUUCAGGGACUAAGCUGGACUGGCUUAGACUAGACUAAGCUGGACUAGCUUAGUGAAACGUUUGAUGCAGUGUUGGACUAACAAGAAAAAUAAUAUUUAUUUAUUUCCUUUUUCUUUUUCCUAUUCCUUUUCAUUUUUUACCGAACACUCUUCCUUUUUCCAGACUCUCUCGAGAACCAGAGCUCUCCCUCUUCUUUUAUCCUUUUUGGAGUUUUUCCACACUCUCUCCCUCUCUAUACAUUUCCUCUUUUCUUGAAAACCAAAUCUCUCUCUCUCUCUCUCUCUCUCUCUCUCUCUCUCUCUCUCUAUCCCUUUCCCUUUUACAGAAAACCAUCUUGAUUGAAUGAAAGCUCUCAUUGUUUUUCUCCUUUUUAAUUCUUGAAAAGUUGUUAUGCGCAAAUCUGUGUUUGGUGAUUGAAAGAUGUGCAUAACUUCUAACGAAUUUGGUUUUGCAAUUCGAGUCUGGGAUUUGCGAUGGAAUCUGGGUUUCGCGAUUUGCAUGUGGGUUGCAAUUUCAGCAAAUCUGGGCUUUGUCUACUGGCUUUCGGGUAUGGGUUUUGCGAUUCGAAUCGGAGUGAAUCAAACGACGGCGAGACCAGGGAGAGAAUAUGACGGGUUCUGGGUUCUAACAGAUUCAAAACAAGCAGGCAAUGCGAUUCUGGGUUGGCGAGUGAUGACGAUGUUGGCAACUCGAGCAAACAAAGCGAGCAAAGAGAGGAGAUGAAGGAUGACGAGGAGAGGAACGUGAGAAGACGAAGACGCAGUGAAGGUCUUAGCAAUCCCAUGGUUAUUGGGGGGGUCUCGCUAAGACCUCUGAGUGAAGGGUUUUGUCCAUGCAAGUCCCCUUUAGUCUCAUUAAUGUUAAUCCCAGCAUGAACAAACACAGUAUUGGACUAACAGCUAGUCCAGUCCAGUCAAGUCCAGUCCCAUUUAGUGAGGGCAAACAAACGCCCCCAAAUUGCUUCAAUAACCCUUCCUCAACACAUAUUAUGUUCGGUUGAACAUCAAUUGGUUGACAAACUGGAGCCAUAUUUAGUUUGGUUGACAAACUAGAGCCAUAUUUAGUUCGGUUGAACAUCUAGAGCGGUGAAAUCGAGCUUGUUCAAGUUCAACAUGUCCCUGAAACGGAGGGACAAAAACAUGAUUAGUCAUAAGGUAAUCCAUAGACAUAUAUUGUAGAACAUACGGGUUCUAUAACCAUGUAUUGGUUUAAUUUAAGCAUGAAAAC